rnacentral:rRNA from 1 species
AUUGAACGCUGGCGGCAUGCUUUACACAUGCAAGUCGAACGGUAACAGGCCGCAAGGUGCUGACGAGUGGCGAACGGGUGAGUAAUGCAUCGGAACGUGCCCAGUCGUGGGGGAUAACGCAGCGAAAGCUGCGCUAAUACCGCAUACGAUCUAUGGAUGAAAGCGGGGGACCGUAAGGCCUCGCGCGAUUGGAGCGGCCGAUGUCAGAUGAGGUAGUUGGUGGGGUAAAGGCUCACCAAGCCAACGACCUGUAGCUGGUCUGAGAGGACGACCAGCCAGACUGGGACUGAGACACGGCGCAGGCUCCUACGGGAGGCAGCAGUGGGGAAUUUUGGACAAUGGGCGCAAGCCUGAUCCAGCAAUGCCGCGUGCAGGAAGAAGGCCUUCGGGUUGUAAACUGCUUUUGUACGGAACGAAACGGCUCUCACUAAUACUGGGGGCUAAUGACGGUACCGUAAGAAUAAGCACCGGCUAACUACGUGCCAGCCGCCGCGGUAAGAC